rnacentral:rRNA from 1 species
GACGUAGGAGGCGAGCGUUGUCCGGAUUUAUUGGGCGUAAAGAGCGUGUAGGCGGCCAGGUAGGUCUGCUGUGAAAACUCGAGGCUCAACCUCGAGACGUCGGCGGAAACCAUCUGGCUAGAGUCCGGAAGAGGAGAGUGGAAUUCCUGGUGUAGCGGUGAAAUGCGCAGAUAUCAGGAAGAACACCCGUGGCGAAGGCGGCUCUCUGGGACGGUACUGACGCUGAGACGCGAAAGCGUGGGGAGCGAACAGG